AUGGACAAUACCACUCAGCCUAGGAUCAAGAACAGCGCUUCCAGGAUCAAGAUUGGCCGUGCACCUAACCUGCGUGUGCUGGGAUAUCUUGAGCCAGGAGUGCAAGAUUUGGGGAUUAGCAACACUGUUGUGGUGGCUGGGAGCAAGGAGAUCAUUGUCCCUAGUGUCCAGAUUUUGGCGAUAGAGGUGCAGUUCGGUGUCCGAAAUGUUGUCAAGAAAGUUCCUGGCUUUCUCAGAUGCUUCCCUAACGUGGAGACGCUCCAUGUCCAGUCCCGCCGCAUAUGUGAAGAGUCCACUGGCAAGGUCAAUCUCAGGUUCUGGCAGGAAGGCGGUCCCAUCAAAUGCGUCAUGGAGAGCAUGAAGAAGGUGUUCUUUUACGAGUUCAGAGGGACGAGAAGCGAGGUUACUUUCCUCAAGUUUGUCGCGGAGAGAGCUCGGGUGCUGGAGCAGAUGGUGGUUGUGGUGACCAGGGAAUGUUUCUCCUCGGGGGAUGAUAAUGUGAGCGCCAAGCUCAAGCCUCUGAUCAGCGCAAAAUGUAACAACAAAGGUUGCAAACUAGAACUCUUCAAGAGUUCGCUCGAUGACGGGGGAACUAGAGUUUACAGCCACAAGCUAGCUUCUGAUUUUCAGUUUGCAGACCCUUUUGACCUCAAGUACUAC
rnacentral:rRNA from 1 species